UGCCCUAGCCGCCACUGCUUCUUCUGUCCUCUGGCACUCCAACUCCAUGUUCUUCCCCACCUCACGACUACGGCCAUGUUGGCGAAUCCACCCCAUCACAGGACCUCAAUCCCACAACCCUCGCCUCAGAUCUCUACUUCCUCACGGGCAAGCUUCCUCCCCUCGCCUCAGAUCUUGACUUCCUCACCUGAAGGCUUGCUCCACUCGCCUCGUCAUCUCGGCGUAUAGCUGCAUAGCCUCGCCUUCGACUUCGAGAGGGCUUUCAAGAUCAACGGCAAGCUAAACAUCGGUCUGAAGCCCUCCCUUUUGUCACUAUUUUUUCAUGGUGGUUUUAGGGUUUCUGUGUGUCGACACUCAGGUAACAUCAGGCGACGAGCUGCUCAAUUAGCGCCGAAGAAGGAGGCCAUCACAAGGGAGCACACCGUCAUCCUGCACAUGAGCCUGCAUCAUCAACUCCACUGACCCGCAUCCCGCACCUGUGGCUGGCCGAUGGGGUACGAUACCUUGGUUUUUGAAUUAGCAUGUGGUGGUGGUGCUGUUACCGGCUAUUCCAAUUGGUCUCCUAGGACGGUGGUGGCUAGAUCUUAGAUUCAGGCAUAGAUGGAAUAACAGGUGUAGGCGGAGGCACCCGAGAUGGAGCGGCAACAGAUUGAGAAGCAACAAAUGGAGCAACAGCUGAUGGAGCAUCAGAUACAACAUGAGAUGGAAGUGGAGACACGCACAAGCAGCACAAGGAAGAAAAAUCAGCUCCACAUCAUGGGGCCAGUUUGCCGAUCUCUACAUCUUCUGAAGCUCGGCAAGUGCCAUAGGAAGAGUGAGUCUGUUGCAACACUAUCCUUUUUUAUUUCUGCAGCAAUAUCUGAACCAAAUAUAUGGGUUCAUUUAAUUUGUGAACUUAGUGUUUGAAGUACAUUUUUUCUGAACUGAAUCUAUGCAGCAGCUCGGCAGAUCACAAUGUGUGGUGCUUUCUGAACUCAUGUAUCUAUGAUGCAUGUCUAUCUAUCUAUGUCAUUAAUCUAUCUAUCUAUCUAUCUAUCUAUAUAUGAUGCCUAUAUGUCUGAAUCUUUGUGGUCAUGGUUUCUGGCUGUUUGUUCUCAUAGUAGCUGAAUCUUUGAUCUCGUAGUAUCAGAAAUUUUGUGCUCACUGUGAUGUUGCAGGUUCCAAUGACAAGAACUGCAUUGCAAGUUCUCUUCUAGCCAGGGACAGUUUGAACAUUAAAUUUAGCACAACUACUCAUACUUAACAUCAGUCAAAUCACUUGAACCCCUGUUACAAAGACUCUCUCUUUCUGUGGUGAUCUUGUCCACUGCAUCUUUCAACACAAAAUUAAAUCAUGUACAGUGCACAACACCCUGCAAAAUUGAGUAGUGGCAUUUAGUUUUAAUUUCCUUCAGUCCACAAGAAUAUUUCAACUACAUCUAUGUGUUUUGAUGUAUGGAUUCAGUUUUCCUGGUCUGCUUUUUGAUCUUGACCAUCCUAUUUUCUCUUGGAGCCGACGGAGAGAGUUGGAGUGCCACGUGGAGGAACAAGAUGAGAAAGGAAAAGGAUUGGGCAUGAGUGGGCUCUUGGUGGUGGUGUCCUUUCAUUACCAGCCCUUCACACCUCAUUUUGUUGCGGUAGCAUUACUAUGUGAAGAGUACAAGGUGCAUGGUUGACUAACAGCUUCUACGGGUGGUGUGGACGUCCAAGUAGAACAGCUCCAACCGAAAGUUGGAAGAAGCAUACUUCAAGUGGAACAAAACGGAUGUUUCCUCUCGUGUGAUGUUGUUUGUUAUGUUUUGUUGGGUUGUGAAUUGAUGAAAAUUAGACUAUUGCAAGCUAUUAUAUGCCCAUUUAAUUUGUUACAAGUAUUAUCUAUUGUAAUGUGAAUAUCUUUUUGUUGGAUAGAAGAUGAGUUGAAGUGUGCCA